AUAUCCUGUUUAGUGAAUGAACAAAGAAAACAGAGUAGAUCAGAAAAGAAAAAGGGAAAGUUAAAUAGGAAAUGUCUGUUGCACAGAUUCAGAUUGUAAAAAAACAGGGUAUUAAAAACAUUUUAUCAGAGGGCAAUAAUGAACUUCUGGUUUAUUGUAAAGGAAAAUUUAGAUGCAUUAAAACUUGGGUCUUAUUCAGCCUUUAGUUUGACAUUAAUGAUAUUAAUAUCUGAGAUCAGAGCACAUGUGAUGACUACAUGCCCAAUAUUUUGGCAGUUGUUUUGUAUGAUGGGCUUGGAUUUGUUUCAGAAUUGCAUUUCAUGUCAUCUGCAUACAUUUUGCAAAGAAACCCCAAAAAACAACAACAAAACAAAAUAUAGCACAAAUCAAAAAAGCACAGAUCAAAAAAGCUGAAGCACUGGUUGUUGUGACUAUAUUCUUAGUAUGAAAAGCAGGUUGUGUAAAACUGUAUUUUCCUCAUCAUAUAGUGGUUGAAUUAUUCAGUCCUCCUUAUUGUUAUGAUAAUUGAAGCUCUCGCUGUCACUUUUCUGAUGCCCUAAAUUCAAAUUCCUCCGCAUCAUCUGUACUUGUUGAAUAAAUAUUUAGGCCCACUCUGAUCACGGUGCAGAGAAAAUACUUUUUCCUUCCCUUUUUCAAGGUGUUUUCACAGCAGCUGACACAGUGUAUGUGUUUUCUAUUUGUAACCUGCCAUGGAGCUGGCUUAUUAUCAGAGGAGUGACCACAGUGUCACAGUAACUGCCCUUAUCCCCACAUUCACGCUCACCCCUCCGUCUAUUACCAUUGCCCUGGUCUUGUUCCAUGCCAUCUGUGUCCAUAGCAACUGGACAGAAUAGGUUACUUAUUAUAGGACAGGGGCUCAGCUGCCAGGUAGUUUACAAUGAGAUUUGUCAUAUCCUCUUCCAAACAGGUCAACAGCACAUGAGGUACAGGAGGUCAGAGAGAUCUGGUGACUGUAGAGGCCAUUUGAAUGCAGUGAACUCAUUGCCAUGUUCAAGAAACCUCUUUAAGACAAUCUGAAUGUUGUGACACGGAGUGUUAUCCUGCUGGAAGAUGGACGCACUCAGGGGCUCGCUGAGCGAUGUGGCCCUUUUGUGGAAUGGAUAGAUCUAAAGAUAAAAGACAAGUUUAAAACGCCGGUGACUCAGCCGGGGUGUUGUCAAAUAAAUUGGGACGACACCUCUUUCGUCCCAGCAGAUGCUACGUGCUUCGUUAUGACGAGCUCCGGUGAAGCUCUUCCUGUGCUGUGACUAAUUAUGACCCAGACUCAGAGCGUCUCCUCGGCUCCGGCCAGGUUAAACUCUAACCUGUGUGACAUCACGGUUAGUGCUAUGUUCUCAUCAGCUGUUAUAAAGAUAUUAUAAAGAUAUGCUAAGAUCAAGGCUUUUUGGUGUGGCCUAUAUUUGACCUCAUGUUAAAGAAAACUCAUUAGUGGCAAAAACAAGCUGCUGAAAUGCUGCACAGCCGUGUUUCUGUUAUCCUGGUGAAUAUAAGUCCAAUAUUCACUCUCCUUUAACUCUGUAUUGGACUUAUAGGGGGAAAUCUAGGUCUUAAGGUGCUAAAUGCUUGACUGAGUUAAUCUAGGUAGAAAACUGGUACACUGAUGGGCAAGCAAAACAAAACAUAACCCCCCUCCCAAACCCAGCCAUUCAGUCCAAUCCUUACUGAUUACAGAAGCAUUAAGCUGAAAACACAUAACACACUCACCUAAGUCCACUGGGGGCCACCUUGCACUGUUGUAUUGCACUUAAAAUAUUGCCCAUUUUGUUGUUUAUGUCUGA